GUCUAUGGCCAUACCACCCCGAAUGUGCAUGAUCUCGUCUGUUCUAGGAAGCUAAGCAGGAUCAGGCCUGGUUAGUACUUGGGUGGGAGACCGCCUGGGAAUACUGUGUGCUGUAGGCU
rnacentral:rRNA from 1 species